UUCAGGUUAGUUACAAAUGAACUGACUGUGCAGGCUUUCAAAAUAGCACACAGAGGUUUUAUUAUUACUAUUAUUAUUAUUAUUUUUAUUAUCACCCCAGGCUAGGCUGGUCCUGCAGUUCCAAACCCUGGGACACUCUGAAGUGCUUCAGCAGAGCAUUGCUCUACAUCAGUCCCAGACACCACAACUUCAGCUGGGAACCUGCUGAGCUCCUCUCACACCUCCCAAAUCCCCGUUUUCCCUGGUGAUACAUCCACUUCUGUGGGAAUGUGUACUGUCACAACUUUAUCCAUUGAAAAAACAACUCUGGCAGACUGUAAAAUGAGAAUCUUCAUGGUUACUUGCCAAACUAUGAAAGCUGAAGGUUUAGGCUGCAAUUAGCCCAGAAGCCACGGUCGUAAGAAAUUGCAAAGGGCACUCACUAUUCAAAAGGCACCAAGAAUAGAAAGAAUGAAAACAUUACCAGAAAUAUUAACUUCUUACCCUAAAGCAGUGUGGGAUAUUAGGGUGCAGGCAGACUUUAGACAGAUGGAUCUCCCUUUAUUCCAAUGCAGGAAGUUGUGUUUCCAGCCAAAGUGUAAAUAAGCGUUCAUAACCACAGGGCAGGCUCAAACUCUCUCUUGCAUCUCUUCAACAACCAAAACCCAUAUAAAUAUUGAAACUGAUUUAUUGGAAAAUUAAAACUCCAAAUUUAAUCUCAUGUGGAAAUUAUCACAGCCUGGUUUCAGAGAGACAGAUCAGGAUUCAAAUGAGCCAGAGUACAUUUACAGGGUUGGUUUGGAAGCAAACAGUUGCACACACAGAUUUUUUUUUAAAUUUUUAUUUCACCUAUUUCUGUCACAGAUAUUCAUUCAAAUGUGGAAUUCAUCACCUUUAUUGCAGCUGACAAGAAACAUAAAGGAAGUUGCCUAAUGAAGACAGAACAAGAAUUGUGCUUGGGAACUUUACCAAACUUUGCCGACUCUGAGAUGAUGGCCCAGUAUUUUAGUAAUUAAUAAUUAUUUGAUUUCACAUGUGUUAUCAUUGAUAAGUCAUUAAUGAUGCUCUGCCCAGGGGGAGGAGACAUUCAUUCCCACCUGGAUAUAAUCUGGGAUUUGGGAAAGCACAGGUUUCCCAGAGGACUGGAUUCCCAGAGGACAGGAGCUACCAGACAUUUCUGCAGGAUCGCUGCUUCAGCAAGGCUGCUUCAUCUGGACUGCCACCACCCUCACUAACAGGGUGUCAGGUUGUGUUCUGACUCUGUCAGUGGCCUUUUGUGCUAUUGCUUCUGUUUUAUUUUAUUUUCCUCUUUUUUUCUCUCUCUUUAAAUUGUAUUUCUGACUUGGGGUCUCUCACUGGUUUUGCUUUCAGACCAGCACACCAGUACUGAGAGGGGCCUUCCAGUGCUGGACUGGAACAGGGACCAAGGCACAGGGGCUGCUCUGGGAGUCUGGAGGGGUUGGGCUCUUCUGUCCUGGCUCUGCUGAGGGGAUUGCUCAGGGCUGGACAACAGGCCCUGAGCCAAACCUUCCAACCACUGCUGUGUUUGUAUCCCCUCAUUAACAAAAGACACAGGAUCAUUAGUGUGGGCUCUGGGUGUCUGCUCGUUAACAAACACAGACUGACCUUUCUGUGUUGGGAAGCUGGAGAAGGCCAUGAGAUGAGAGCCCUGCUCUUGCUGGGAGCUCCAUGGUCCAAGGCAGCUCCUGGGUUGCUCCCUGAGCCCUGGCCAGGCUCUGGGAGGAAGCCAGGAGGGGCUGAGCCCAGCUGUUCCCGCCCUGGCAGUGCUGGGAGCCUGUGGAUGGCACCCAGGGGUGCCAGCUGGGCCCUGUCCCAGCCCAGGGGGAGCCUCUUUGCCUGCGGGUGGACGCACCCGUGGGAAUUCCCAGUUCCGGGAGGGGCUCUCAGUGCUGGGCUGGGACAGGGGCUCCCCAGCUGGGGCUCUGCAGGCUGGGGCAGCCUUAGGGGGUCCCUGGGGCUGGGUCUCAGUCCCUGCAGGGCUGCAGUCUUUGGUAGCAGUGAUGAGGGCAUGGCAGAGCUUGUCUGUUUGGAGUUCUGUGCUGCUUUGAGCUCUGGUAAAUGACACUCAAUUCCUGCAGCUGCUCUCUGUGUCCUUGCUGCUGCUCCUGCCCACUGCCCAAGCAUUCCUUCUGUCCAAUAAACUUCCUGGGAACUGUGCUGCUUGGAAGAUUUACAGAAAUUUGAUCCUGUAAGUUUGAGAUGAAAUUUCUACUUCUCUUUGGGUCUUGUAGGAAGGCAGGAUUGUAGUGUGGUGACCUGAGGGAGAUGUUCCCACAGCUGUUUGCAUCUGUGCUCUCCUGUGUGUCUUUGUUCUUCCUGCACUGCUGGAGGGGGCACUCAUUUAUUUGGGUUUUCCUUUUCAACCCCUGUGGGCUCAGGUGAUUUAGACUCAGCGUAAAGGAGAACCUGGCAAGAAAAUGCUGAAGCAGAGUUCCCCUUCUUCUAUUGCUGAGAUGUUUCUGCUCCAAGUCCCUCAGUGCCUGAGGACUCCCAGGUGUUCCAAGGUGGCAGCAGCUGGAAAAUCCUGUUCUCCUGCUCAGAAUAUGAACAGAGCCUUGUCUGCUCAAGGCCCCUGGCAAGCAGGGGACAAAGAAGGGACCCAGAACCUCUUGGCCCCCUGGCAGAGAGAGAAGCAGCCGAUGGUGCUGGGAGAGCUGCUGCGAGUCCCUGCUGGAGUCUGGUUUGGUGCUGUCCCUUUGUCCCCCUGCAGGCCCCACUGGAGCGUGUCCAGGCUGUGCCACGUCUGUCCCCAGCUGGGUGCAGGCGUUUGCCCUUGGCAGGGUGCCCUGGGGGCUGAGGGCUGCCCCUGCCCUGCUGCUGGCAGGGGAGGCAGGGCUGGCACAGGGCAGCUCCUGCACUCCUGGCUUCCACAGGCUCCCGUGGUUCUCUCCAGGCUGUUCCAGGCUGCUGCAGCGCUCGGCCAAAGCCCUGGAGACCCUGGGCUGUGGAUGGGCACUGGCUCCAGGCAAAGGCCACUUGUGGAGGGCCUGGCCCCGGGGGCAUUCCUGGAAGGAGGAGGGCCCUGGGGUGAGAGCUGUGACCCCUGAGGUUGGAGAGGAGCCUGGCAUGGCACAGAGAGACUUGGAGAAAGCGUUUUCCAGACUCACACUUGUGCUGAAAGGCCCCUGGCACGUGUGGGACAAGAACUGACACAGAAUUUCCUGGGACCCUGGCAGAGAGAAGCAGCAAAUGGUGUUGGCAGAGUUUCUGUGAGUGCCCUUUUGGCCCUCCUCCAAGGAGCAGGAGGAGCCUGGGUUUGUGUCCCUGGGAUUGUCCUGACCUUCCAGACAAGGCCCAAGGUGAGUGCCAAGGCACAGGGGGUGCUCUGGGAGUCUGGAGGGGUUGGGCUCUUCUGUCCUGCCUCUGCUGAGGGGAUUGCUCAGGGCUGGACAACAGGCCCUGAGCCAAACCUUCCAACCACUGCUGUGUUUGUAUCCCCUCAUUAACAAAAGACACAGGAUCAUUAGUGUGGGCUCUGGGUGUCUGCUCAUUAACAAACACAGACUGACCUUUCUGUGUUGGGAAGCUGGAGAAGGCCAUGAGAUGAGAGCCCUGCUCUUGCUGGGAGCUCCAUGGUCCAAGGCAGCUCCUGGGUUGCUCCCUGAGCCCUGGCCAGGCUCUGGGAGGAAGCCAGGAGGGGCUGAGCCCAGCUGUUCCCACCCUGGCAGUGCUGGGAGCCUGUGGAUGGCACCCAGGGGUGCCAGCUGGGCCCUGUCCCAGCCCAGGGGGAGCCUCUUUGCCUGCGGGUGGACGCACCCGUGGGAAUUCCCAGUUCUGGGAGGGGCUCUCAGUGCUGGGCUGGGAUAGGGGCUCCCCAGCUGGGGCUCUGCAGGGUGGAGCAGCCUUAGGGGGUCCCUGGGGCUGGCUCUCAGUCCCUGUGGACAGUCCUGGGUGGCAGUGAUGAGGGGCAGUGCUGAGCUUCUCCUUAUGCUCUCUAGAGGGGCAAAUCAGAGGCUUAUUUCAAAAGCUUUGCAAAGGAAAAUGGCAACUGAAAUAUUUGGGAGCCUCAAAAGCAGUUCAACUUCUUCCUGUAAUUAAUGACAUAAUGAAGGUAAGCAGAGAAGUGGAGUAGAUUUUGUGUCCCUUCCAGAAGUAUUUCAGGGGGUACAAAGUGCACAGUUGUGUUGGUGAGAUGGCAGAAAUGAAUUUGUUGCCUUCAGAUCACAUCUUUUGAUUGGUGGUUUUUGCAGACAGUUGUUUAACUGGGAAGGCAAUGAGAGUUUCUGAGGUGAAGCUGAGAUCUGCUGUGACCCUUUGUGGCUCACCCCACUGUGGGACACUGGGCUGUCCAUGAUGAAUGACUCUGACCAGUGCCCACUGUGAGAGCCAGGUCACUCUGCAUGGCCCAGGCUGGCCUGGAGGGACAAAGAGAGGUUUGGGUGGCUCUGGCCAAGGUGCUGAGACAGAGAGGGAGAACUCUCAGCACCUUGGGGCUCUGAGCUGGGCCUGGAGGGAGCAAGAGACAAAUCCUGCAAGGUGAGAUGUGCCUGUUCUCGUACUGAUUACCCUCCUGACACAACUGGCUCAGGUACCAACUUUCUGUUCCCUUAUUCACUUUCUAAAAUAAUAUUUGUGUGCUUUCUUCUCACUGUACAGCUAUAGAGAAUAACUCCAGCGUCUGCACAGCUGCUUUCCAUUGCUGCCAAACAGUUUAAAAAAUCAGCCCUGCAUCCAUGAGUGUGUAUUUACAAACACAGAGCAUCCAUUGCUCUUGGGUGCUGCUCCUCCUGAAGGGAUCUGUGAAGGACCUGGGUAACUCUGGCUGUUGUGGGGGUGGGAACAACCACCUGUGAAAUACAAACAUCAGCCUGGUACUGUCACUAAUCAGAGAAAAGAAAUCUGAUGCCAUUCCUCUCUUUGGAAUCUGCAGGGCAGGUAUUGAUCCCUGCUCCAGCCAUUCCAGUGUGCAGCACAGUUGUUUUUCAGGGAUGUGGUGGGUAAUGGAUGGGAUUCCAGCUGGAGAGCUCUGGUUUACCCUGGGUUCCCAGAGAGCUUUUCCUGCUCCCUGAGGUGGUCACAGAAGAGAUGCCAGGGAAGCCAUGAAGACUCCACCUGCUCCUUUUUCCUGCCAGGUACCUGGAGUGAGAGCAGUGACCCCUGAGAAUGGAGAGGGGCUUUGGAUGAGACCAAGACACUUGAAGAAACCUCUUCCCAGAAUGGCACUUGUCUGGAAUUGUCUAGUAUUAGAUGCUCUUUUCAACCUUCUUUCCAUUUUUAAUGUCUGUCAGAGUUUGAGGCUCUGCAUUCAAAGGCAAACCAAUAUUUUCUAGUGCUUCUUAUCACUUUUGAUCUCUUUGGUUUGGUGUGUCAAAAUGGGUCUCUGAUUUCACCUUUUGUAUUUAAGGUUACCCAGAAAGGGCAUUGACCAAGCAGUGCAAAUGCAGAGUAGUUAAUGGCAUUAGUUGUUGUCUAGAGAAUAAUGUGUUCAAUCUAUUUUUGUUCAUAUGGGUACACUGUAAAACUGUGGUGUUCCAGUGUAGGUGGGGCUUUGGCCACCCUUUGGAGAUGGUAAAAUGAUCAUUGUUCUGGAUUUGUAAUGGCCCUUAGCCAAAUCUGAGCUCUUGAUGAACCUCCCAGGCAAAGGUUGCAUUUGUGUCCCCUCAUUAAGGAUCCCCUCACAGGAUCAUCAGCGUUAGGAUGUGAAUCCACUCAUUAACAAACACAGACUGACCUUUCUGUACUGGGAAGCUGGAGAAGGCCAUGAGAUGAGAGCCCUGCUCUUGCUGGGAGCUCCAUGGUCCAAGGCAGCUCCUGGGUUGCUCCCUGAGCCCUGGCCAGGCUCUGGGAGGAAGCCAGGAGGGGCUGAGCCCAGCUGUUCCCGCCCUGGCAGUGCUGGGAGCCUGUGGAUGGCACCCAGGGGUGCCAGCUGGGCCCUGUCCCAGCCCAGGGGGAGCCUCUUUGCCUGCGGGUGGAUGCACCCGUGGGAAUUCCCAGUUCUGGGAGGGGCUCUCAGUGCUGGGCUGGGACAGGGGCUCCCCAGCUGGGGCUCUGCAGGCUGGGGCAGCCUUAGGGGGUCCCUGGGGCUGGGUCUCAGUCCCUGCAGGCAGUUGGCCAAACCCAGCACCCACAGGAGUCGUUCACUCGCUCUGCUGCCAGCGUUGGGCAGAGGAGAGGGGGGGAAUUAAUGAAGAGCUCACGAGUUCAGAACUGGGAGAAACACACUCUAAGGGCAAAACAGGUUCCAAUUUAAAGGUGUAAGGUUAAUUUAUUAUUAACAGUCGGAGAAUGGUAGCGAGAAGUGAAUGAAGCCUUUAAAACACCUCUUGUUUUUUCACCCCAGCCCCUCCCUGGGAGACAGGCUAUAGGGAUUUUUGUCACUUGAUUAUUUGAGGUUUUUUUCUGUUUGCUCAGGGAGAGGAGUUUUUUCUCUGCUGUGCCAUUGGGUCCCUCCUAUGGGUACAGAGUCUUCCCAGAGUUGUUGUGGCAUGGGUUCCUUGGCUGCAGGGUGCAGUUGUUUAAGGAUGGAUUGCUCUAGUUUGGAAGCAAGGGCUCUCUUAACUCUGCAAGCCCUCUCUCUUCUCUCUAUUCGGGUCUCCCACUGGAUCAAAGCUUUCUCUGGCUUCCACUCCCUCUGGCAUGAGCCCUUUUCCCAUGGGCUGUGAGUGGAUCUCUGCAUCCCCCGUGGACUUGAUUCAUUCCAGGGCCACAGUUUGUUUCACCACAGUCCUCAGUGCAGCUUGCAGAGCAAUCUCAGCUGUGAUGUUCAGAGCUCUUCUUCCCCCUUUUUCCAUUGACCUUGGUGCCCCCAUGUUGUUUUCCAUUCAUGUUUCACAUUCUCACUUCCUCCUCCUCUCACUAGAGGAGAAGCUGCUGCUCAUAGGCACCACUGCCAACAAGAGUCACCAAUUCAGAGAUUCCUGCAGGAUGCCCCAGCAGCCAGAGGUUGAUCUUGUUCAGGUACCCUGGAGUGAGUGCAGUGACCCUGAGGAUGGAGAAGGGCUUGGGAUGAGGCCAAGAGACUUGGGGAAACCAUUUUGCAGAAUGACACUUGUGUGGACAGAAUGCUGCCAGGCAACCCCCCGGGUGCUUUGAACAUCACAGGUUUUUCCAUCUGUUGUCACAUUGGAACACCCCGGAGUCCUCAGGCACAGAGGGACUGUGAGAAAAAGGAUUCCCAGCGAGAUGAGCAAGGUCAUGCUUUUGUUAUGGAUUUGCUUGGAAAAUUCUUCCAGAAAAUCAUUUUUCACUGUUUUUUGCACAGAACCCAAAUGGAACAAGGCAGCUCUGGGGAACCCAGCAGCAGCUCUCACUGACUCUCCAGUGGGAGUCUCUCCCCCAGGCUGAGCCUAAAUGCCCUGAGCCCCCGAGGUGCAGGUGUCACCUCAGCAUGGAGCACACCUGGCCUGAGGCCCUGCUCCUCUGUGGAUGUGCCCUGUGGAUGAGGAGGGGCUGGUGUGGAAGCAGCAGGACACCAGCCCAGCCUUUCACAGGCUUUUCACAUUUGGCUUUGGGGCUGGAGGUGCUGCCCUCCUCUGCUCUGCCUGCAUUUUAUCCGCUGUUGUUUUCCCAACACCCUCCUAUCCCACAGGUCAGACUUCCCCCCACAUGGAGCUGUUUGGCUCCCUCUGGAAUGGGGGCAGCCUCUCCCUGUGGGUGCAGGAACACAUCCUGUGCUUCCUGCAGUGUCCUUCUCUGGACCCUGGAGCCAUUAGACCUUGUCCCCACGUGGGACACAGUGAGAGUUUGGAGUGGCCGUGGCCAUUCCUGAUCCUGGCUGUGUUCCUGAGGAGCUGUCUGUGCCCAAAGCCAGGGGGUUCUGAAGGUGUCCCCACGGCUGUGGCACCCUGAGUGUGCAGGAGCUGCUGUGGGAGGGCUCUGCCACGGGCACUGAUCCUGGGCUGAGUGGGUCCAUGAACCCCCCAAGUGCAGAGCCAGGGCACAGCCCUGCCCUGUCCCCACACCUGCCGCACACGAGGGACACAGUGAGGACCUGCAUUCCUGUCACCCUGACUGCUGACCUGUGCUGUGACACUGACCCUGACUGCUGACCUGUGCUGUGACACUGACCCUGACUGCUGCCCUCUGCUGUGACACUGACCCUGACUGCUGCCCUCUGCUGUGACACUGACCCUGACUGCUGCCCUCUGCUGUGACACUGACCCUGACUGCUGCCCUCUGCUGUGACACUGACCCUGACUGCUGACCUGUGCUGUGACACUGACCCUGACUGCUGAUCUGUGACUGUGACACUGACCCUGACUGCUGUGACCUCUGACUGACACUGACCCUGACUGCUACCCUGUGACUGUGACAUUGACCCUGACUGCUGUGACCUCUGACUGUGACACUGACCCUGACUGCUGUGACCUCUGACUGUGACAUUGACCCUGACUGCUGUGACCUCUGACUGUGACACUGACCCUGACUGCUGUGACCUCUGACUGUGACACUGACCCUGACUGCUGCCCUCUGACUGUGACACUGACCCUGACUGCUGUGACCUCUGACUGUGACAUUGACCCUGA